UGUUAACUCAUCGCUGAUUGGACGAAUCCACCGGAAAGCGUAGUACUGAUGAAGAAGGAAGUUUCUCCGCUUCUGGCGUGGAUUUUCAAAAUGAGCCUUACCAAAGAUGCGAACAUGGCUGCCGCUAUAAAAGAAUAUUUUUAUUCGGGGCAUACGUAUGAAGUCCUAUUGACAUAAUCGCAAAAGGUUUGUGAGACGCACGUACCACUCCCAUGGGGCCAAAUUACACAGGCACGUGGAUGGCUGCGAUAAACUUAAACCCUUUGGCCUGGCUCUGGGUGUAUGGGUUCUCGAGAAGAAUAAUGUAGCUGGCUUGUGGCGCAACAAACAACAAUCCGUCUGUUAUCGCGUGCAAUUCUAUUAAUUGCGUCACGGGUCUUUGUGCCAUCCCAAUGAGAAUGCGAACAGACCUCGGCACGGAAAAUGGGUCAAUGACAGCAAUACAGUGUGCCCUCCGUCAACGCCUUAGACUUACGCCGGCUCAUCCACCCACCGUUAUGGAUCAUCAAUCGGCAAUCAACGGAUUAAAUCCUGGUGGUCGUUGUUCAGAAGAAGGUCUCAGUUUUGGAUAGGCUUCUUUGGAGACCUGAGAGACUAUGGAAGUUUCAGUGGAAGCCACGAACUGCCUGCUAGGAUUUUGCUUCAGUGGUGGUGUACAAAAAGACCUGGAUGAAUGCAAGGACCACUGGAACAAGCACAGGAUUCGUCCAAGCGGUCUUGCACCUUGUCCUGGAGGGAUAUCAAAUGGACCAUCUCUUGCUCCAUAGAGACGGUGGAUUUCCUGUUGGGAGGGAACUGAAUGUGUUUCCUGAGGCAAUGCAAACCGUAGGCUUGUGCAACGACCCAAAUAUUGAAGAAUACCUACAGCACGCUGCUCAGCAACAUUGACUACAGCGGCC